rnacentral:lncRNA from 1 species
UGCAGCGUUUGUGAAUCUCAGAAUUAUUAGCUGAGAAAACACAAGAUGGAAUCAGAAAAAACAUCCAUAGAAGAAAGCUAUAUGACAUCGACUUCGUCACAGAAAGAGACAAAUGGAUCAUCGUAUUGCAGGUGAAUUAAAAAAAACGGUGAAGAUCUAAGAAGAAGAAGAAGAAGAAGACGAAGACGAAGAGAUGAAGCAAUUAGGAAACUGUCUUUGGUUUCUUUUGUAAGAGUUGAACGAAAGGAACAUGUUUGGUCUUUCUGGACCAACCUUCACUUUCAAUAUUUUAUAUAAAACGUUUCUUUCUCGAAAUUUAAUAUUUUUCUCUAAAUCGAAGUUUCUUUUAAAAUUAGGUGACUUACGACGACGACUUUGAAUGGUAAACGAUAACGAGUCUUAUCAAUUAUCAUUCUUGUUUAUAGAAUAUAAAAACGAGUUCUCACCUUGGACUCACUAUACAAACUUGGAUUUUUCUAUAGUUUUGUUUUCUUUCUUUUUGUACGACAACUUCAAAAGUCAGGUGGGUGGAAUUUUCUAAGAAAGAACCUAAUGGACCCUAUUGUUUACAUAAAUUGACCAGAGCAAUAACCAUGUCCUAGUUUUGGUCCAUUGUUUUUAUCAUCAGUGCUAGAGAAUCUAAAGAUAUUGUGGGGAAGAAAGAAAAAAUAAUGGAGUGUGGGAUAAGGCAAUUAGUUUAAGAGAGUGACUAAAUAUGCCUAAGUUAAUCCUAAUUUGGUUGGGACUUGGAUAUAGAAGAAGAUUCAAACAAGUGAAGUUUAGAUAUCUUGUAUCACUUUCUUGAUUUUAUGGUUGAUGAUUUGAUAUGUGAUAAGGUAGAAUAGAAUGUGAAAAUGACAUAUUAGGAUCAUGGGGUGGCGUUAUCUAGAUUCUUCUAAAGGUUUUGUGUUGCUUAGGUUACUUGUUUGAGUUUCUCUUGGGAGGGUCUAGCUUAUUAGAACCUCUCAAUUAAACCAUAAGAAAAGAGAGAAAAAGAAGUUGGAUAUUGAAACUAUGAUGGUGUGUAUAAGAAACUUACCAUUAAGUGAAUGGAGUUUAUAGCAACUUGACGGUG